GGGGGGGAGUGAGCAGGGAGAGGCCUCAGGUGAGAGCGGCCAGGUGAGCCCUGCAGGUGAUGGGGGGAGUGGCCAGGUGAGCCCCGCAGGUGAGAGUGGGAGUGGCCAGGUGAGCCCUACAGGUGAGAGUGGGAGUGGCCAGGGAUCCUCCUCAGGUGAGAGCGGCCAGGUGAGCCCUACAGGUGAGAGUGGGAGUGGCCAGGGAUCCUCCUCAGGUGAGAGUGGGAGUGGCCAGGUGGCUCUCUCAGGUGAGAGUGGGAGUGGCCAGGUGAGCCCCGCAGGUGACUCCGGGUCCCCCCAGUAGUGAGGUGGGGACACCUGGACAGGUGAUGGACACACCUGGAGAUGGGUGGGAACACCUGGAGAUGGGUCAGACACAGCUGGAAGUGAGCUAGAAACACCUGGAGACGAGCUGGAAACAGCUGGGCAGGUGAGGGGAACACCUGGAGGUGGGAUGGGAACAGCUGGGGUGAGACGGAAACACCUGGAGAUGGGAUAGAGACACCUGGGAAUGGGCUGGGAACACCUGGAAUGGGCUGGGAACACCUGGGCCAGGUGAGGGGAACACCUGGAAUGGGACAGAGAUACCUGGAAUGGGCUGGACACACCUGGAAUGGGAUGGACACACCUGGAAUGGGAUGGACACACCUGGAAUGGGAUGGACACGCCUGGGCAGGUGCCGGGCACACCUGGAACUGGCGGGAUCCAAUAAAAUUCCCGGGAUUUGCCUUUU